rnacentral:lncRNA from 1 species
AAGAUUGCUAUUGUCUCCAUUUCACCAUUAAGGUAGAAAGAGUUUACCCCUUGCUAUUCCUGCAAUGCAGCUACCCAAGGAAUGCUGCAGCAGUUUCCGUGGUCCCCUCAACAGAUCAUCAAGACCUUCACAUAUGUUCUUUCCUAGACCGAGUAUUCCCCUUCUAGUCUCCAACCCCACCUGCUUCCUCUGUCUGUGAGACUCAGAUCUAAGGACUAAACUCAAACAUCUAUUUUCUUAUAAGACCAAAUAAGAACAAUUGUUGAGAUUUUUAAGUAAUUUUUUAACAAGUAGUCAUGGACUAGUUAUGUUGCAAAGGUACCUUAUAUAAUACAAUGAUUGCACAAGCUAGGAAUCAUCAUCUAGAACAGAAGUUGGCACAAUAUAGCCCCCAGGCCAACCAGACAGGCACCUGUUUUUGUAAAUAAAGUUUUAUUGGAACACA